rnacentral:rRNA from 1 species
AAAUUGAAGAGUUUGAUCAUGGCUCAGAUUGAACGCUGGCGGCAGGCCUAACACAUGCAAGUCGAACGGUAACAGGAAACAGCUUGCUGUUUCGCUGACGAGUGGCGGACGGGUGAGUAAUGUCUGGGAAACUGCCUGAUGGAGGGGGAUAACUACUGGAAACGGUAGCUAAUACCGCAUAACGUCGCAAGACCAAAGAGGGGGACCUUCGGGCCUCUUGCCAUCGGAUGUGCCCAGAUGGGAUUAGCUAGUAGGUGGGGUAACGGCUCACCUAGGCGACGAUCCCUAGCUGGUCUGAGAGGAUGACCAGCCACACUGGAACUGAGA